rnacentral:lncRNA from 1 species
UGGCUCUGCAUGUAGAAAGAGCUCAAAAACCACUGUUGAAUGAGUUAUGAGUAAAUAGAUAACACUAUUUUAACAUUUUAAUGGUUCACAAAACCCUAAAAAGCAGCAGAGUGUCUUACAGUUUAUCCCCUAUUUCCAUACUUCCCUAACUCAGUGCUCCAGAGAUAAAUUAUCUUGAGAAGAAACCACACUCAUACGAUUGGAUUUCAAAACUUAAUGAUUUUUUUUCUGUUCCCCAAUAAUUUUUGUGUUGGGAGGGGGCAAUCGCAUCAAGUUUGUGAAACUCUGGCUGUAAGAGAUUUUCAAUCAACACACAGGUUCAGAGGUUGUUGCUUCCAAGGAUAAUCUCCCAGGGCCUCAUUCGACAAUACAUAUUUCCCAACUUCCCCAGGCAGAAGUCCGCAGAAGGCCGCAGAACUCCGCAGAAGGCCGCAGAACUCCGCAGAAGGCCGCAGAACUCCGCAGAAGUCCGCACACAGUAAGGAAGUUGCCUCCGCGUCCAGCCCGCUGAUUGAGCAGGCCGAGAGCCAAUGCGCAAAGAAGGUCCACUAAUUAUGGAGAACCAAAGUUUUUUCUUAAAACUGACGGGACAAUCGAUGAACCUGACCACUGCAGACAUGGACUUCCCUAAACUUCAAUCUGUGGAGAGAGGCCUCAGAGUCUUCACUCGCUAUUUCAUUUUCAGGCUCCUUCCAGCAAAAUAAAAGUAAAAACAACA